CCUACGGGAGGCAGCAGUGGGGAAUCUUGCGCAAUGGGCGAAAGCCUGACGCAGCCAUGCCGCGUGAAUGAUGAAGGUCUUAGGAUUGUAAAAUUCUUUCAGUAGGGACGAUAAUGACGGUACCUACAGAAGAAGCCCCGGCUAACUUCGUGCCAGCAGCCGCGGUAAUACGAAGGGGGCUAGCGUUGCUCGGAAUUACUGGGCGUAAAGGGAGCGUAGGCGGGUUAUCAAGUUGGAGGUGAAAGCCCAGGGCUCAACCUUGGAAUUGCCUUCAAAACUGAUAGCCUAGAGUAUGAUAGAGGUAUGUGGAACUCCGAGUGUAGAGGUGAAAUUCGUAGAUAUUCGGAAGAACACCAGUGGCGAAGGCGACAUACUGGGUCAUGACUGACGCUGAGGCUCGAAAGCGUGGGGAGCAAACAGGAUUAGAUACCCUGGUAGUCCACGCUGUAAACGAUGAUUGCUAGUUGUCGGACGGCAUGCCGUUCGGUGACGCNGCUACGACAUAGACACUCCGCCGUGGGAGGUACGGUCGCGAAGAAGUUAAAACGUUAAAAGGUAAAGUUAGUACGGCGUGAGACGUGCCGACGGACGACGACGAGGGAGGAGG
rnacentral:rRNA from 1 species